UUAAAAUGUAUUAAAAAAUUGAACAACAUAUUAUAUCUGACUUUUCUUUUCAUAGUCCCACCAAUGUCCCCAUCAAAAUCAAUGAGCACACCCAGCUAGACAGCCAAGACUCAGUUGAUAGAGCAGCUGCUGGCAGAUGUCAAACGCACAGAUUGGGAUUUCCUGCACAGGGAAGUGGUGUCCUACUGUAAAGAGACUCAGACACAGCUAGCAGCUCAUUUAUCUGAAGGCCACCAGCGGGAGUUCCUCAUCUUCUUCGACAGCAGUGGACGAGACCUAGAGGAUAAAGAGGGGUGAGAAAGUGAUGUGUAACACAGAUGAUUUCUAGGUUAUAUAUGAAAUAUUUUAUCUAUUUAUUAUUUGAUAUUAUUAAUAGUUAACCCAAACAUAAGCCGUUCGUUGACUUCUAUAGUAUUUCUUUCCCCUAGUGUGGAAGUCAAUGGAGGGCCAACAAUUGUUUGCUUCUUCAAAAUUCUUUAAAAUAACUUAAUUUGUGUUCAACAUAUGAAAGAAACUUAAAUAUUUGGAAUGACUUGAGGGUGAGUAAAUGAUGACAAAAUUUUCAUUUUUCGGUGAACUAUUCCUUUAAGUAUUACUUUUAACAACGGUCAUAAAUUAUAAAUAGUUAAUUACAAAUGGUUAUAUUAUUGCAAAUUUGAUUGUUGUGAAAUUAAAUUUAUGUCAAAGUGGACCACAAUGACAUCCAUGGUAAUUAAUUUACAUGAAAUAAAACCCAAACCACAAACUGUAGUUACAAAAUAUAAACUGCUUAAAUCAUCUGGAUAUAAUUAGCGUAGUAUGUAAUAUUUACAUUAUAUCAUUUUCAAGCAAUGAAUGUAUAGGUUGCUCCAGUGUUUUAUGCUCUGUCAUAAAAGCGUGUCAAAAUGAUCACAAAAAAAAUAAAAAAUAAAAUGUAUGGAGUAUUUUAACAAAUAUUUUGCAGAAUCCAGUGAUGUAAAUAUAUCAAAAAUAGGAAGGGUCAGCGUUAGUCUGUAGUAUUUAUAUUUAAGCUGAUAAAAAACAAUAGAAUACUAAAGUAUGCACUUAAAGGGUUAGUUCACCCAAAAAUAAAAAGAUUAG